CUUACCUUACGGGGCGCAGCAGUGAGGAAUAUUGGUCAAUGGGCGGAAGCCUGAACCAGCCAAGUCGCGUGAGGGAAUAAGGCCCUACGGGUCGUAAACCUCUUUUGCCGGGGAGCAAGGGCCGGGACGCGUCCCGGCCCGGAGAGUACCCGGAGAAAAAGCAUCGGCUAACUCCGUGCCAGCAGCCGCGGUAAUACGGAGGAUGCGAGCGUUAUCCGGAUUUAUUGGGUUUAAAGGGUGCGUAGGCGGGCUUUUAAGUCAGCGGUAAAAAUUCGGGGCUCAUCCCCGUCCGGCCGUUGAAACUG
rnacentral:rRNA from 1 species